GGAAGGGAUGGAGAAUAAACGGAACCCCCUUUCUAGACACCUCCCCCUUUUCUCCUGGGGAGAGGAGCAGCCUGACCCCAACAAGCUUUGUGAAAGUUCCCUCAGUGGAGUGAAAGAGAGACGGAGAGAGAGACACGGGAGAAGGGAGAGAGCGAGGACAGGCACCGGCGAUAAAAAUAAGAGUGGAGGAAAGGAGAGAAAGAGAGGAAGGACAACGUUUUAGUAAUUAAAAAUACAUUUAUAUAUUUUUUACCCCUUUUUCCUCCCCAAUUUUGUGGAAUCCAAUUGGUAGUUACAGUCUUGUCUCAUCACUGCAUCUCCCGUACGGACUCAGGAGAGGCGAAGGUCAAGAGCCGUAUGUCCUCUGAAACGAGGAAGGACAAAGUUGAGUUGAGUGGCAGAGUCCGAGAUAGACUGAGGAAGAGAGAGAGAGAGAGAGAGAGAGAGAGAGAGAGAGCAGGGAAUCAAGUAAGCAAGUAAGAGAUAUACUGCAACCGUCUCACCUCUUCCCAGACGCGUCAUGGAUUUGCGGUGCUGGAUAGCCCUCCUGUUUGGACUAGUUGGGAAUCAGGAGUAGCAGGAGCAGCAGCUUCCACCCGAAGGAAGGAAAGAUGCCUUCUGUGUCUCUCAGCCUGCCCGUUGCCCUAGCCGGGCGAGCCCGCACCUGGGUCUGCCUCUCCUGCAUGUUCUGGCCUGAGGAGUUUGAGGGGAUCCAUUCACACACCUUUCGGGUGAAGACAUUCAAGAAGAGCAAGCACUGUGGCGUGUGCAAACAGACCGUCAGCCAGGAGGGGCUAAUUUGCAAAGUGUGCCGGCUGACUUGCCACAAGACAUGUGAAGUGAAGGUAAGAGCAGCAUCUUUUCUCAGGGCUCUUAUGUUGCCGAAUGGGCAUGUCUAAGCAAUGGGAACGCAGUCUUUUUUAGGCAGCUACACUUUUUACAUGUAGGUUGUUAUGAACUGUCAUUACAUCUUAUGUCAUCACGUCACAUCUCAAGUGCACAAGAGUCAAGUACAGUGUAGCUCUACCAAGUCAUCCUCUGUUGACGCAACAGGAGGCUGCUGAGGGGAGGAGGGCUCAUAAUAAUGGCCGGAACGGAGAGCGAAUGGAAUGGCAUCAAAACACAUGGAAACCAUGGAAACCAUGUGUUUUACUGU
rnacentral:lncRNA from 1 species